CUGCCUCUCCAAUGUAAAAAGUAUUUUCUUCUGUCUCAUCGAUUUAAUUUUUGGAUCGAUGUUCAACCGAUGAGAUAUUAUUUUUGGAGGAAUCCCAGACAUGUCGACUGCCGAUCAUUUUCCAAACAUGUCGACUACCGACCAAGCAACGACAUCAGCAUGUACUCUUAGUAGUUCUAUCAGCUGCUUUCACUCUGACUCAGAUAAUUGUGAUC
rnacentral:lncRNA from 1 species